GCCUCCUGCCUCUGUCUCCCUCCCUCCGUGUCCAUCCAGGUCUCUCUCACCCACGCAGAGGCUCAGCGGAAGGAAAAACGGCUCGGAGAGAGCCAGGAGGAAGCAGCAUGGUGAGCAGAGAGCCUUCUUGGGGAAGGGAUCCUCUCCGCUCACCAAGACAAUAACAACGGCCUGAUCUAGAAACUUCCUGGAGACUUUUCACCUCGGGAACCAGAGAAACCUGGCCUUUCCCGCGUCCCUGCUCCAGUUUGUUCCCUUUGACUCCUUCAGAAGAAGAGAAGAAGAAAGAAACUGGAUAACUGCUGGACUUUUCUACCAAGAGAUGGGAAAAGACUUUCUAAAAGAGAAAAAAAAAAUUCCCUAGGCAAAAAAAAAAAAAAAAAAAAAAAGUCAACAACAAUAUUAUUCUCUAGCUGGGUAUCUUACCCCUGUUUAUUAAAGUUCUUUGGGGCAAAA